rnacentral:lncRNA from 1 species
GCUUUCUCAACAAUGAGAAAAGUUGCAGAAGUAGGGUGCCAUUACGUGUCUGCCAUGCCUACCGUGUGCAGCUGGGUCUGCCAAGAGACAGCUCAAGGAGGGGGGGGAGGAAGUGAAACAAACUAGGACCAGACUAAUCCAUUUACUUAAGGUAUGAUAGAAUCCCAUUUAUUUAAAAAUAAAAUAGGAUUUUGUGCACA